UGGUGUUCGGGUUGUCAUGCCAAUGGCAUUGCCCGGUAGCUACGAACGGAACUGAUAACCGCUGAAAGCAUCUAAGCGGGAAGCAGGCCUCAAGAUGAGUUCUCACUAGAUCUUUAAGAUCUCUGUAGGUCCGUCGAAGACUACGACGUUGAUAGGCAGGGUGUUGAAGCGCAGUAAUGUGUGAAGCUAACCUGUACUAAUUGACCGUGAGGCUUGACCAU
rnacentral:rRNA from 1 species